ACAAUAUCCCUGCAUCAUGAAGAGCAAAGAAACUUUUCCCAAGAUUGAUCUUUUCAUCUGUUUUAUUCAAAACACACCAGAUGCUGAAUUUCUGCAUUUAAUGAUAAAGUAUGGUGAUAAGACGGUAAGACUCGGCCCUCCAUCUUUAUUACAUCAAGUCCUUCUGAUACUGCGCCUCCUGCUGAUUCCCUGUGUUACUGUUGUGUUGGUGAUUAUCUGUCGAUGGCAAAAGAAACUCACUGCUGAGAUGAACAAGCUCUGACUGUUACAUCACACUGGCUGAACCUUGUGCAUCUCCAUUAUAGCAGACAUAAUAUCCCAAGUUCAUGUUUAUUCCUCACUGAUAAUUCAUUUCA